GAUGAACGCUAGCGGCAGGCUUAAUACAUGCAAGUCGAGGGGCAGCAGGUCUGUAGCAAUACAGAUGCUGGCGACCGGCAAACGGGUGCGUAACACGUACGCAACCUUCCCGUUACUGGGGAAUAGCCCAGGGAAACUUGGAUUAACACCCCAUAUUAUAUUGGUUGGGCAUCCGACUGAUAUCAAAGUUUUAACGGUAACGGAUGGGCGUGCGGUUGAUUAGGUAGUUGGCGGGGUAACGGCCCACCAAGCCUACGAUCAAUAGCUGAUGUGAGAGCAUGAUCAGCCACACGGGCACUGAGACACGGGCCCGACUCCUACGGGAGGCAGCAGUAAGGAAUAUUGGGCAAUGGACGCAAGUCUGACCCAGCCAUGCCGCGUGAAGGAUGAAGGUCCUCUGGAUUGUAAACUUCUUUUAUCUGGGGCGAAAAUCGGGUAUUCUUAUCCGCUUGACAGUACCAGAGGAAUAAGCACCGGCUAACUCCGUGCCAGCCGCCGCCGUAACAC
rnacentral:rRNA from 1 species